GUAGGUGGCAAGCGUUGUCCGGAAUUAUUGGGCGUAAAGCGCGCGCAGGCGGUUCUUUAAGUCUGAUGUGAAAGCCCACGGCUCAACCGUGGAGGGUCAUUGGAAACUGGAGAACUUGAGUACAGAAGAGGAAAGCGGAAUUCCACGUGUAGCGGUGAAAUGCGUAGAGAUGUGGAGGAACACCAGUGGCGAAGGCGGCUUUCUGGUCUGUAACUGACGCUGAGGCGCGAAAGCGUGGGGAGCAAACAGGGAUUAGAUACCCUGGUAGUCCACGCCGUAAACGAUGAGUGCUAAGUGUUAGGGGGUUUCCGCCCCCUUAGUGCUGCAGUUAACGCAUUAAGCACUCCGCCUGGGGAGUACGGCCGCAAGGCUG
rnacentral:rRNA from 1 species